rnacentral:rRNA from 2 species
UCUUGACCUCGGAUCAGGUAGGAAUACCCGCUGAACUUAAGCAUAUCAAUA